GCGGCCUAUCAGCUUGUUGGUGAGGUAAAGGCUCACCAAGGCGACGACGGGUAGCCGGCCUGAGAGGGCGACCGGCCACACUGGGACUGAGACACGGCCCAGACUCCCACGGGAGGCAGCAGUGGGGAAUAUUGGGCAAUGGAGGAAACUCUGACCCAGCGACGCCGCGUGCGGGAUGAAGGCCUUCGGGUUGUAAACCGCUUUCAGUAGGGAAGAAGCGAAAGUGACGGUACCUACAAAAGAAGCACCGGCUAACUAUGUGCCAGCAGCCGCGGUAAUACAUAGGGUGCAAGCGUUGUCCGGAAUUAUUGGGCGUAAAGAGCUCGUAGGUCGUUUGUUACGUCGGAUGUGAAAACCUGAGGCUCAACCUCAGGCCUGCAUUCGAUACGGGCAAACUAGAGUUUGGUAGGGGAGACUGGAAUUCCU
rnacentral:rRNA from 1 species